rnacentral:lncRNA from 1 species
UUUUUUUUUUUUUGAGACAGUGUCUCCUUCUGUUGCCCAGGCUGGACAAUACUCCGUCUUUAAAAAAAAAAAAAAAAGCCUGCACCGGGACCCAGUCUCUCUCCAGACAAUCCGUAGCCCUUAACUGUGCUGCUGGGAACCAGAGGCCCCAAAAUUCAAAAUCAGGUGCCUCUGAUUAAGCUAGAGGGAGUGAGGAGGAGCGGAUGUGGCCAGAUUCUCUGAAUGUGGACAUGCAGGCACCCACUCCAACACCCAGGGAGUGGCUGUCUUAAGUGCUUUCUGAAAGGUUGUCAUCCAGACAAACCACCCACUUCAGCAGUUAUUGAAAUUGCCCCUUUCACUCUCUCUUUGCUGAAUUUUUGCUGAUCUCUUCUCCAUAUGACCUACUGUGGGUCACAGACGCUUCUCAGG